CCCAAUACAGGCGGUUCCAGUCAUGCAGGUGUUAUAGCAGGUGUUGUGGUAGUCGUGGUACUGGUUCUUGUUGUGAUUAUACUGGGGCUGCUUUGGUGGAAAAGGAGAGAUAUGCUCUUAAGCAUGUUUAAGAGAAAACCAAUAAAGAGAGACCAAUCAAAUACGAAUGAUCAAACGCAUCAUGGCCAAGACGGACUCUACCCGAACGGCGAACAGGUGCUGAACAACACAAAAAACACCAAUCGCUUUGAAAAGAAAGCUCCAUUGACACUUUCUCUCUCAAAUAAAAGUGACAAUUCAUCUAUAUCGAUGACUAGCAAUUCACUGUACUCAGUGGGCCCAGAUGAAGCCUACUACAACCUCCCAGACGAAACCAAAGGGACUGCAAGUGCAAAAGAUACAAAACCAUGCAAAGAGCAUGGUAAUAGUACAGAUAACAAUAAAAAUACUGAUCACACUUACAGUACCGUUUCAAAACCGACAAAUCGAAAAGCAGAAAACCACGACCAUUCAUUUGUUUUGAUGCGAGGAAAUUCUCUGUAUGGCUCG